rnacentral:rRNA from 1 species
GACGAACCGUGCGAACGUUGUUCGGAAUCACUGGGCUUAAAGGGCGCGUAGGCGGGCUGUCAAGUCUGGGGUGAAAUCCCGCGGCUCAACCGUGGAACUGCCUCAGAUACUGACGGCCUCGAGGGGGAUAGGGGCGGGCGGAACUGAUGGUGGAGCGGUGAAAUGCGUUGAUAUCAUCAGGAACUCCGGUGGCGAAGGCGGCCCGCUGGGUCUCUACUGACGCUGAUGCGCGAAAGCCAGGGGAGCAAACGGG